AUGGCCAAGGGAAAGGGGAAGGCUGAUGGUGAUGGGUGCUCUCGUGAGAGGACCAUUUCCUGGGCUGAUGAUCAGACCAAGUUUAUGCUGGAUUGGUGCAUUGAAUACAUGAAGGAACAACAUGCAGGAUUUAGGUUCAGGAAGCAUCAUCUCAUGAAGUGUGCUGAUGCUUUAAAUAGGAAAUUUGCUAUGGGGGUUACAAUUGCUCAAGUUGAUCGACACUUCAGACACUACAAAGAAAAUUGGAAGUACAUUGCUGCAGCAAUUAGCAAGAGUGGCAACGUUUUCGAUGAUAUUAGAUGUGUGAUAACCAUUUCUGAGUCUGAAAAGUCUUGUCUCAAUGAUAGAGCAAGGCGCUUGCUUUCUAAGCCCAUCAAGUUCUACUAUGAGAUGCAAGAGCUAUUCACAGGCACUAGUGCUGAUGGUUCUUUGGCCAUGGACCAGCAUACAUGCACAAUUGAUUCUGAUGACUCGGAUAAUGAUGAAGGGUUGUAUGACCUUAACUGCUAUCCACAAUAUGAGGGCCCUCUUGAGGAGGAUUCUGACACUUUGCCAACAACAUAUGGUCCUAAAAGACCUCCAGUUCAUGUAGGUGCUGAUAAUUCCUCAUCUAGCACUAGCUGA
rnacentral:rRNA from 1 species